rnacentral:rRNA from 1 species
GGAUGAACGCUAGCUACAGGCUUAACACAUGCAAGUCGAGGGGCAGCGGUAUCGAAAGCUUGCUUUCGGUAGCCGGCGACCGGCGCACGGGUGAGUAACGCGUAUCGAACCUGCCUCAUACUCGGGAAUAGCCUUGCGAAAGUAAGAUUAAUGCCCGGUGUUUUCAGAGUCCCGCAUGAGGCUUUGAACAAAGAUUUAUCGGUAUGAGAUGGCGAUGCGUCCCAUUAGCUUGUUGGCGGGGUAACGGCCCACCAAGGCAUCGAUGGGUAGGGGUUCUGAGAGGAAGGUCCCCCACAUUGGAACUGAGACACGGUCCAAACUCCUACGGGAGGCAGCAGUGAGGAAUAUUGGUCAAUGGGCGGAAGCCUGAACCAGCCAAGUAGCGUGCAGGAAGACGGCCCUCCGGGUUGUAAACUGCUUUUAGUUGGGAAUAAAACGGGGCUCGUGAGCCCCCUUGCAUGUACCAUCAGAAAAAGGACCGGCUAAUUCCGUG